UACGUAGGGUGCAAGCGUUGUCCGGAAUUAUUGGGCGUAAAGAGCUUGUAGGCGGUUUGUCGCGUCUGCUGUGAAAAUUUCGGGGCUCAACCCCGAACUUGCAGUGGGUACGGGCAGACUAGAGUGUGGUAGGGGAGACUGGAAUUCCUGGUGUAGCGGUGAAAUGCGCAGAUAUCAGGAGGAACACCGAUGGCGAAGGCAGGUCUCUGGGCCAUAACUGACGCUGAGAAGCGAAAGCAUGGGGAGCGAACAGG
rnacentral:rRNA from 1 species